rnacentral:rRNA from 1 species
GAUGAACGCUGGCGGCGUGCUUAACACAUGCAAGUCGAACGAAGCGCUUGAAACGGAUUCUUCGGAUGAAGUUUCCUGUGACUGAGUGGCGGACGGGUGAGUAACGCGUGGGUAACCUGCCUCAUACAGGGGGAUAACAGUUAGAAAUGGCUGCUAAUACCGCAUAAGCGCACGGCAUCGCAUGAUGCAGUGUGAAAAACUCCGGUGGUAUGAGAUGGACCCGCGUUGGAUUAGCUAGUUGGCAGGGUAACGGCCUACCAAGGCGACGAUCCAGAGCCGGCCUGAGAGGGUGGACGGCCACAUUGGGACUGAGACACGGCCCAGACUCCUACGGGAGGCAGCAGUGGGGAAUAUUGCACAAUGGGGGAAACCCUGAUGCAGCGACGCCGCGUGAGCGAAGAAGUAUUUCGGUAUGUAAAGCUCUAUCAGCAGGGAAGAAAAUGACGGUACCUGACUAAGAAGCCCCGGCUAACUACGUGCCAGCCGCCGCAGUAA